AUGAAAAUGAAUAUUUAUUAUAUGUAUAUAGGGGAAAAAAUAAUCAUAUAAUAUAAGGUAGGCAGUGGUUGCCGACCUCGCAUUGUUCGAAAUAU
rnacentral:rRNA from 1 species